GACGAACCGUGCAAACGUUAUUCGGAAUCACUGGGCUUAAAGGGCGCGUAGGCGGGCCGUCAGGUCCGGGGUGAAAGCCUCCAGCUCAACUGGAGAAGUGCCUUGGAUACCGGCGGCCUCGAGGGAGGUAGGGGCGUGCGGAACUUCGGGUGGAGCGGUGAAAUGCGUAGAGAUCGGAAAGAACACCAACGGCGAAAGCACUCUGCUGGGCCGACACUGACACUGAGAGACGAAAGCUAGGGGAGCGAAUGGG
rnacentral:rRNA from 1 species